rnacentral:lncRNA from 1 species
AGAACGUAUAGGGACUUAAAAUACCAAAGUUAAUAAGAGGAGCAACCUGGCAUGCUCCAAAACAUGGAAAUCCUCUGACGCUCAUUAUUAACUGCCUCACAGAUGAGCAUAAAGGCUUUUGCUGCGGAGCUUUGUCCUGGUUCCAGUUCCUGCAGCCACUGCAGUUCCAGCUCCUGCAGUCGCUCCAGUUCCUGCAGCCGAGGCCUGCGUCUCAGCUGAGGAGAAACUUUCUGAAGAGUUCCACCAACUUAAAGAGAAUCUAUCUUCCUCCACACCUGAACAAACCAGUGUCUCAGCUAUCAGGGGAGCAGCUCUUGCAGGAUGGGAAAUCCCUCACUGUGUUCAUACGUGUUUGACCGUCUCACACAAUGUUCAGUUUGAAACAUCUCAGACCUGAUGUACUUCUUGCCAUUCAGAGCUGCAAUAUGGGUCCUCUGGCCAGUGAGAGUGGGAUGACUUCUUUCUCCUGGCCAUCAAAUUCCCUCCAGUGGAAGUCUGUCUGCAUCCAGGAGCCUUAUUGUCACCUGGACAAAGAACUGAUGCCAGACUGUGAUCACUGCUGUCCAUGA